rnacentral:rRNA from 1 species
UAGGGAAUCUUCCACAAUGGACGCAAGUCUGAUGGAGCAACGCCGCGUGAGUGAAGAAGGUCUUCGGAUCGUAGAACUCUGUUGUUAGAGAAGAACACGAGUGAGAGUAACUGUUCAUUCGAUGACGGUAUCUAACCAGCAAGUCACGGCUAACUACGUGCCAG